rnacentral:rRNA from 1 species
CCUACGGGAGGCUGCAGUGGGGAAUAUUGGACAAUGGGGGGAACCCUGAUCCAGCCAUGCCGCGUGUGUGAAGAAGGCCCUCGGGUUGUAAAGCACUUUCAGUGAGGAAGAACGCCUGGUGGUUAAUACCCAUCAGGAAAGACAUCACUCACAGAAGAAGCACCGGCUAACUCCGUGCCAGCAGCCGCGGUAAUACGGAGGGUGCGAGCGUUAAUCGGAAUUACUGGGCGUAAAGCGCGCGUAGGUGGCUUGAUAAGCCGGUUGUGAAAGCCCCGGGCUCAACCUGGGAACGGCAUCCGGAACUGUCAAGCUAGAGUGCAGGAGAGGAAGGUAGAAUUCCCGGUGUAGCGGUGAAAUGCGUAGAGAUCUGGAGGAAUACCAGUGGCGAAGGCGGCCUUCUGGACUGACACUGACACUGAGGUGCGAAAGCGUGGGUAGCAAACAGGAUUAGAUACCCCGGUAGUC